GGAUAUAGCUCAAUUAGUCGAAUGUUUGCCUUGCAUGCACAAGGUCCUGGGUUCAAUCCCCAGCACCA
rnacentral:tRNA from 1 species